GUCCAUGUACCCCUGUAGUAGUACAGAGAUGCAUCAGGGACUAAGACUAACUUCUUGUACAAAUUCUACAGAAAAUCACAGACGAGUACAUGAAAAAGGUUGAAGCCAUCCAAAAGCAGAAGGAACAGGUACUUGGGUCCAUAAGAUGGUCCUGCUUAUCGCUUCAAUGUUACUCCUGUCUUUAGAUAAUGGUUAAUUCAACGCAAUUAGUAUGAUAUGAAUGAGUAAAAAAAAAGGGCUUUGCUUGAUGCCAAAGAAGUUAUUAUUCAUCAUCGCUCGAGAACCAUGGAAAGAUAAACAAAAUCUUAUCAAUUUUCCCUUUUCAGGAGCUGAGCAAGGUUUAGAUCCCGCCCCCGACUGAACAAAAACUGGUGAGUCGCAUUUCGUCCUGUCAAGUACCUUGGCUGUGUUGAAGAAACUGACGUAUCAGCAACCAACACAUUUGUUGGGUUAUCACAGAACUACAGCAGUAGUUAUUUCAACAAAUUAGCACCUAACAUGUGAGAUUUCGUAGGCCACAAGAUUUCUGAAGCCUUCUUGUCAUCGGAUGGUUGCCACUGCGCUGUGCGAUCACUCCUUGGGUUGGACUCUUGCUAAGACUGAUGGAUGCAAAGUGCAGACCUCGUUUCCCUUUUGUAAUUAGGCCUCCGCCGACUUCCUGUCCGACUGCUAUUGUCAAUAUUUCUCUUCGCCACAUCUAUGAUGUGCACUCUAAAAGUCUCAGUUUCCUUUGCUAAUUAUACACCCUGGGCUGGGCUCCACUGCAAUCGGGUGCUACAAAUUGGGCAAGUUCUUUUUCAUGUUUCAGAGAUUGAAACGAGGCUCCUUUACUACUUUUUUGAAACAUGGCGCUUUAUUGAUUAAAUCACAUCAUUACAAAGUUCUUCCCGCAAACACUCCGGGACAACAUCAAAGUAAAAAUUACAGGAAGAAAGCAUACUUCUACGAGCUAAAACAUGCGCCAUAACAUUUGAACUUCGCCCAACAUGCUUGAACGAACAGAUGUCGAACUCUGAAGCAAGGCGUUUGAUAUCGCCGACCACAGAGCCGACAAGAGAUCGAUCCAUAGAAGAGGACCGUAUCCUUUGAAUCAGCGUCAGGCAGUCCGAUGCCAUGGAAAUGCACCUGAAACCAUUGUCUCUUGAGACCUCGAGAGCACGUCGAGCAGCCAUCGCUUCGGCGAGUUCCGGAGCCACAAUUCCUGCUAUUCCUUCGUUGCAAGCCAUCAUGAAAGAGCCAUGAUGGUCACGCAUCAGCGCACCCCAUCCCAUGCGAUUCUCGGCUUGAAAAACAGCAGCAUCGACAUGAAGACAAAUGUGCCCGGCUGGUGGUGGCGUCCACACUGGAGGUGAAGAGGAAGCACACCUGUUGGCCUUUGGUUGCGGGAAACAAUGCUGAACUAUAUUGUCCACAUAAGCCUUGAUCUUGCUAGCCACGCGAGACGGAUGGAGGAGAUCAUGCCCAUUCCUAGCAUCAUUUCUAGCCUCCCACACAUGCCAGCAAGUAACCGCCAGGGUGGUCAAUUGGAUUUGCGACGAUCUGUGCAGGAAAUCAAAGAUCCAUUGUCGCAUAUCAGAGAAGGACCUCUUACCCAGCUUGACAGGAAUAUCUUCUUUCACGGCAUCCCAAACUGAAGCGGUGAAGGGGCAGAAGAGAAACGUAUGCUCCACAGUUUCAGUGCGUCCACAGAAAACACAUCUAUCAUCAGCCGGUAUCUUGCGAUGCUUCAGUUGAGUACCGGUCGGGAGACAGUCGUGGGACAUACGCCAAAGAACAACUUUCAUUUUAUUGGGGGAAUUAAUGGCCCAAAGAGAUUUCCAUGAUCUCGUUUGAUCACCCAAAUCAGAGGCCUCACCAUGACCCUUGGCAGCACGUUUGCAGAAGAAAGUCUCCAUGCGUGCAAAGUUGUAGGCUACUUUACUACUGUGCCUUUGACACGAUAGGCCGGCCACCGGCUAUUGCCAGUGGAUCAUGGGCCCCAUGUUGAAAAUAUCCACGUCGGCGACGAUGACUGGCAGCCCGACACGUCCCUUGCCGACAACGACCAGGCUGCGAUAAUUACGGACGCUGGUGCGGCCCCACGGAAGGACGGGCCGGACUCGUGUGCCAGUGGUAGGGCCAACAAUCGGCGGGUGGUCCCGGCGCACAGUACGUCCCAUUCCUGUGUUCUCCACUAGGAUUGAGUGAUGGUGACUCCGGUGGGCAAAGUAUUCAUUGCCGGCAUGGACCGGUAAACAUUUUGAAUGCUGUGCCACUGAUGGAGUAGGAUAUCACCUCAUGUGUCCAUCACUUAUCACUUCAACGCUAGGAGAAGCGGCGAUUAGCAAAUUAUUACGCGAUUCCUUUGAUUUCCAUGGUUGUAUUCCUUUUCGUAAGGUUAGGGAAAUGACCAUUUGAUUAGACGGUGGUAAUAUGCUGGAGUACUGAACAUCUUUUACUAGCAGCACUUGGGAUAAAAGUCGGAGGAGUGCGUGGGUUCGGCGCAAGCUAGGAAAAACACGUCAAAGCCCAUCAGAAGUGGAACCGAUCACCCAAGGGAAGAUGCGCAGCAACCAACCAAGGAAAACGAUAAUAUUACAGACCAUCAAACUUUGAGGGGACAAGAACGAGAACACGGCGCAAGUUAGAAGGAGGCAUUCAACCAACAGAGACGCACAAGGAGAAUCAAAAAGAAAACCAACAAAAACGCACCGGCCGGGCGCGGCAAUGGAAGGCAGCAAGUCGAUGUCUGCGGUGGCCGCUCCCCGCCGUCGUCAGCUCGCUUCCGUCGCCGAUCUCCCGGGCAGCGGCAGGGUAGGCGGCGACCUGACGUUUCAAGCGCAGUGACGAUGGCAAAGGAGAGUGAGGAGAAAGCCACCCUUGUCGCCGUGGUAUUCCUCGGCUCUCGUCGUGGUUUCAGAGCGAGCACGCAGCGCGGCGCCGCGCCCUGCCUUUGUACUGUCCCUCGGGUUGACUAUACCAUACCGCCUGCACAUGCCAGUGCAGCGGCACAUCACGUCAACCACUGUACUAGUCGGAGCAGCGGUAGUACUGGUGGAUUUGGGGAGGGGUGAAAAAGCUAGCAGGUCCCACGCUUCCAUGGC
rnacentral:lncRNA from 1 species